CGAGAAGAACAGACGACUCGAAGACAAGCAGACGCCAGGCAUUUACGGAAACGUCUUCCCGUCGCUGUCCAUAACAGAAGAUGAUGAUUAUGAAAACGCUGCGUUCCUGG